UGUGGCUAUCCAACAAGGGGCGGGGGGACACAAAGUUUUUUGUAUUGCAGCUCGUAUUUUGUUUUGUUUUAACAUCUAGACCUGAUAACCGUAAUCCUGUACUCACUGAUCUCCCUGUUAUGUUGAGCUGAAAGGUUCGGCUUAUCCCGAUUUCAGUAAGCUUUUUAUUAGGACCAGGCCAGCUCAGCACUGAACUCAUGUUCUGGAUUUUCUGUGCUGAUUUUUGGACAGCUUUUUUUUUUUUUUCCCCGGAUGGCUAAGAUUUUGCUCGUGACCCGUGAGCACUGCACGGGCCGUGUUCUUGAUGCGUCUCCGUAAUGUCAUCCUGCAGCUUCUCCAGUUACCUCUUCCUGCGAUAAUCAAAGCUGAGGUUUGCUGUGAAGCUUUGGCCCUGACGACUGACAGUGUUGAACCAGCAUCUGAACGUCAGCUUUCCUAGAAGAGAAAGAAAAGACAUAGAAGUGGGUCAGGUUUGCUCACCUCAGCAGCUGAGCGCUGAGACCUGGCAAUAAACACAUUGCUGAACUGCUGACGAACCCUGCAAGUCUGAGAUUGCUUACAAAAUCUUGCGAUUGCUGAAAGAGAUUUAGUGGAAGAAGUCUGCUUUUAUUCUUCCAAUCUGUCUCACUUUAAAUUUCUUAGCCAUAUAGCUUCCAUUUUAGAAACUCCUUAGGAAGGGUUAUUGGUAUUGUUGUUUAAUUGAGACUGGCUUUCUCUUACUUUAUCUGCAGAGCAUUGCUAUCUGUUCUCAGAAGGUGAAUACCUCAAUUUUCCAGUGAUGCUGUUUUCAACAGAAGAAUUUAACUAAAGCCCUUUUUUCCUGCUUUUGGCUGGAGGAUCCAUGCAAAAUCACUGGCAGUCUCUAUAUGCUUCUCAGCAUAGUUUGAAAAUUGCCUGAUGAGGAAAAUCCCCCUGCUACCAGCACGUAUUGGCAUUUCAGCUCCAGAUAAUGUUUUCUGUGCAUAAAAACUACCGCAGUCUGUGGGGACCUCCUCAGCACAGCCUGGGUUUGUCCACCUUUAAUCAGCGUGCAGGCAGGAGAAAGGCUACCCACCCCUGUGUAUGGGUUGGUUCUCUGGCCCCUGGAGAAUGGUUUGCUCUCUCUCCUGUCAGUAAGCCUGUGCUGAACAGGUCAGCCGGCACUCCAUCAGCUUGUCUGGGAAGUCUGCGGGGCUGCCAGCUAUAAGGAUAAAGUUCUUUAAAAGGAUCAUUGCAUGAAGACUGACAGUGUGCCCAGGAACCACAGUUACAACCGGUUGUUGAUUUGUUUCCUGCUCGAGUGCCAUAAAACAUUCUCAAGAAAUGGAGGAAGAUAAAGGGCAGAGUGCUAAAGCUACCAGUGCGGUGGGUGACUUGAGGAAAAGUUGGCAAACCUGGGCAGAGGAUCACAUUGAGUAUCAGAGAAAGAACCCCUUCAGCAACGACGACAGGCUUGCAUCUAAACCGGUGCAUACUCACAGAGGAGACUCUACCUAUGGGAGACCCCCCGAAGGGUCUCAGACAGAGCAGAGGGGAAAAGAUGCUCACUCACACGUGGGUAAGGAGGUAGAAGAGCUGUGCUCUAUCAUUAGAAGAACUGGAGAGGUGGGAGAAGAUGGACAUGUGAGUGUGACAUUCGGGCAGCUCUUUGAAACAUACGUGACUAUUUCCAAUAAAGUAGUGGGAAUCUUGUUAAGAGCCAGAAAGCACGGUCUGGUUCGUUUUGAAGGUGAAAUGCUUUGGCAAGGAAAAGAUGAUGAUGUGGUCAUCACUUUAUUAGAAUAAGGUUUUGUCAUCUAAUGAAUUCUGCUGCAUGGUUCCAUUUAGAAAAACAUAGCUGGAUACCAUCUUGAAAGAGGUUUUCAUUACAGAAUUUCAACUCAGCUGCUUACUGGGACGUGAGCAGGAGAGAAAAUGGGCGAGAAGGAUAAAAAAUGUUUUUGCAAAAAUGGUAGAGAUUUGGACAGAAAUCACAAAUAAUGAACUAAUCCAUCAUGCUGCUAUUGGAUUGUCCUUUCAUUAUUAUCAUCCACUACCACGUAUACCGCAGUUCUUCAAAUAACUCCACUGGCUUACUGCUUUAGGUUACUGAAAGUAUAAAUUGCUAACUUGCUACUAUUCAACACUGAUUCUUGCAGGUUGUGAAAUACUCACUGUGUGGGGGGUCUUCAUUUGUAAAACAUGGAAUUGAAAACUUUUAUGGGAAUUCAUAUACUACUUCAAAAAAAGAGCCUGAAAUAUGACAAAAGUUUAGGUUAUUUUCACAUGGUGAAACUGAAUAAAUGGAAGUUACUUUCUGAAGUAUAUGAAAAAUCCCAAAUUUACAGAAAUAUCACAGCAAGGAUAUUUGAAGUUUCCUAAAUUAGUUACAUCUUGCAUGUAUUUCGGAGAGCUGCACUAGUCCUGGUAUUUAAUAGUCUGUUCUUAUCAUCAUAUCUUCUCCCAGAUCUUCUGUGUCUCUUGUUGUUUUUCCUCUGUAUCUCACCGUUUUUACCUGUUCUGUUCUUCUAAUGCUGCGUCAUACCCUAGAAGAUCACAAAGCUCUGCAGCUGCCUUGGUGAAUCCAGCUAACAUCCUUUCAUAGAAAGUAGGGUGCCACAAUGUAAAGAUGUGAAAGACUGAUUGGGGCACUGUGCAUUCACGAAAAGAAACAAAAAGGUUCUUUCAACAAAAUGUAGCAAUUUUGUUUACAACAGGAAGAGAGUAGGGAUCCUGUAGUGCCAAAUGCAAAAAUAAAAGUAUAGUGGUGCAGUCUCGUGCCUCAUUUAUCUGAGGCAAAGCUUUUCUUUCAGGGGACAGUUGUGGGUUCUCCAAACUAGGAGGAAAAAAAAUGACCAGCUCGUGAAAAUUGAGACUGAAAGAUGACCAAUAAGAAUUUCCUUCGUGGUUAUUCCAGGGGAACUUUUUCUAUGUUUAAAAAAAGAAAAAAAAAGGAUUGGUUAUACACAAUAGUUAUAAUAACGCUAUUAAGAAUAAUCAGGAGCUGUAUUUACAAUAGUUCCCACCAAGAAAACUGUAUAAUUAGAAAUAUCAAAUUCUAUUUUUUACCAAUGCAAAUAAAAGCUUUUAUGUGGUGUUAACUACAGUACUUGACAGGUCUUUAGUGUAAGAUAUUCUCUUGCCUCAAAAGGAUAUUGAAAUUUAAUA